UCCCAGCGGGGAUUCCGCCAGGCUGAUUCUAUGGUGGCGAACGCCAGCAAGCGGCGGUCGGCCCAACUGAUUGUUUUGUUGGCCUAUGUAGGAGCGAGUGCGAGCGCCAAAGGGAUUUAAAGCACUACUAGUGUCUGUUGUUUAUGAGGCCGGAAAGCGGGCAGUGACACUUUAGCCAACCGCCUCCAACAACAAACACACUUCAAGCUUCCACGCUGGUUUUACCAGUCAGUCAUUUUCCAUGACACAUGCAACUCAGCGAAAACAAGGCGAAAAUUACAAAUCACCAAGGUAUCUACCAAAAACCGUGCUUAACUAGAAUCUGCUACACCAUUCCAACUUGUAAUCUCUCCAAACGCUCAUUCAGGUUGUGGCCAUACCUGCAGGCAGGGGUUGGAAUGAACAAUUCGUUCGUUCUGUGGCUGCAUUUUGGUCUGGUUUAUGGCGAUCGUAAAUCAUGCCUCAAGAUAUUUAUGUCAGCACUCAUGUGUUCAAUGUGAAUACAACAUGCGACUUUUUCCAGUCCAUUGUAAAAUACACCACCGAUGAUGAGACGAGCGAGGCGACAAGCCAUAAUAUCAAGUACAACUAUGGGACGAGUACAUCAGUACCAAUGCAUAAAACAUGCGGUUUGAUUGCAACAAAGAACCGACUGUGCAGUAGACACUCUCAUUGCGUUCGGGUUUCACACCAGCCAACCGCCCAUUCAUUCGUCCACCCACACUCCCUUGACAAGUGAUGCCCAGCCUAGAUGAGGCUUCACUCCAUUUGGCCAGGAGGCAAAAGCAGCAGCUUUACUGGAAGUUGGAACAAAACAUGCCAACUUCGUUCUUCGUACCUGGCAAAGAAGCCAACCAAUUGUUACAUGUUUUAAGAGAUUUUCCCUGGUGAAUAAAUCAUUUCUACUGCAUUGCCAGCACUAUCUCACACCAGUCGGCAAUGUCACACAUGACUCCGACGCCUCCAUCAAUUUGUAAGAUUUGUUUCUACGAAAACUUUGGUUUGGCAACUACUCGUGCAGCAUUACCUUGUAACGGUUUUGCCUGUAAGACAUGAAUGCUACACAAGUUUCAGCUGUUUUGCUCUACAAGGAGCAGUACAAAUACUUAAAGGAUGAAUUAGUUGCCUACAAACAUGUCUUCCACACCACCAAUAACUGUGUCUGUGUGUAAAUGCAUUACCAUUUGUGGUCAUGUCGGGUAAUUUUGUGUCAAAAUUUAAUUUAUAAGACAUGUGCCACAUUGGCGUAGUAGAG